rnacentral:rRNA from 1 species
AGCAUAUCAAUAAGCGGAGGAAAAGAAACCAACAGGGAUUGCCCCAGUAACGGCGAGUGAAGCGGCAACAGCUCAAAUUUGAAAUCUGGCCCCCGGGUCCGAGUUGUAAUUUGCAGAGGAUGCUUCGGGCGAGGUGCCUUCCGAGUUCCCUGGAACGGGACGCCACAGAGGGUGAGAGCCCCGUCUGGUCGGACACCGAGCCCGUGUGAAGCUCCUUCGAAGAGUCGAGUAGUUUGGGAAUGCUGCUCAAAACGGGAGGUAUAUGUCUUCUAAAGCUAAAUAUUGGCCAGAGACCGAUAGCGCACAAGUAGAGUGAUCGAAAGAUGAAAAGCACUUUGAAAAGAGGGUUAAAAAGUACGUGAAAUUGUUGAAAGGGAAGCGCCCAUGACCAGACUUGGGCCCGGUGAAUCACCCGGCGUUCUCGCCGGUGCACUUUGCCGGGCACAGGCCAGCAUCAGUUUGGCGCGGGGGAGAAAGGCUUCGGGAACGUGGCUCCCUCGGGAGUGUUAUAGCCCGCUGCGCAAUACCCUGCGCCGGACUGAGGUACGCGCAUCGCAAGGAUGCUGGCGUAAUGGUCAUCAGCGACCCGUCUUGAAACACGGACCAAGGAGUCGUCUUCGUAUGCGAGUGUUCGGGUGUCAAACCCCUACGCGGAAUGAAAGUGAACGCAGGUGAGAGCUUCGGCGCAUCAUCGACCGAUCCUGAUGUUCUCGGAUGGAUUUGAGUAAGAGCAUACGGGGCCGGACCCGAAAGAAGGUGAACUAUGCCUGUAUAGGGUGAAGCCAGAGGAAACUCUGGUGGAAGCUCGCAGCGGUUCUGACGUGCGAAUCGAUCGUCAAAUAUGGGCAUGGGGGCGAAAGACUAAUCGA